AGCUGACGGAGCAUGCCGCGUGAGGGAUGAAGGCCUCUGGGCUGUAAACCUCUUUUAUCAAGGAAGAAGAUCUGACGGUACUUGAUGAAUAAGCCACGGCUAAUUCCGUGCCAGCAGCCGCGGUAAUACGGGAGUGGCAAGCGUUAUCCGGAAUUAUUGGGCGUAAAGCGUCCGCAGGCGGUCUUGUAAGUCUGUCGUUAAAGCGUGGAGCUUAACUCCAUUUAAGCGAUGGAAACUGCAAGACUAGAGUGUGGUAGGGGCAGAGGGAAUUCCCGGUGUAACGGUGAAAUGCGUAGAUAUCGGGAAGAACACCAGUGGCGAAGGCGCUCUGCUGGGCCAUAACUGACGCUCAUGGACGAAAGCCAGGGGAGCGAAAGGGAUUAGAUACCCCUGUAGUCCUGGCCGUAAACGAUGAACACUAGGUGUCGGGGGAAUCGACCCCCUCGGUGUCGUAGCCAACGCGUUAAGUGUUCCGCCUGGGGAGUACGCACGCAAGUGUGAAACUCAA
rnacentral:rRNA from 1 species